GGGAUUGAACCCGCAUCUCCCAUAUUGCAGGCAGACGCGUUACCAUCUGCAACACCGGGGAAGCAAAUUAGAAAAACAUGAAGGCUAUUAUAACAACCACCAUUUUAUUGGUAAGAGAAUUGAGGCAGAGAGAGGUUGAGUUGGAGGACAGAGAGUGGAUUUCUAUUCAUCAGUGGGUCUUGUAUACAUCAAGGAUGUUCAUUCACACAUUCAAGAAUUCUUUUUCUUUGUUGAGUGCCAUGUAUCAGGCACUGUGCUAGGGUUGGCCUGGAGUGGAGCAAAUGGAAACAGAGGCAGAGCAGGCAUGAGAGGAAAAGGAAAGCACGGAGUUCCAUGGAGGAACUCGGAGCCAGAGAAUGUAAGCACCAUAAAAGCAGAGACUUCAUCUCUUUUGUUCCCUGCCGUAUGCCAAUGCCCUGAGGAGUGCCUGGCAUGGAGAAGGACUGUACAGAUUUCAAGGAAGCAAGAUCUCUGACCUUAAGGAACUCGUGGAUGAUGUCAGUGGAUCUCAAAGUGCGGCAUCAACAUCACCUGGGAUCUUGUUAGAAAAGUGAAUUCUUGUCCCCACCCUGAGCUCCUGAAUCCAAAGUAUGUGAAGGAAGGGCCCAGCAUUCUGUGCUUUAACAAGCCCUCCAGGGGAGUCUGAUGCAGACUCAAGUUUGAGUACACUGGCCCAAUGGGAGAGAGGCAAGUCAAAAGACAAGUACAAUUUAUUGUGAUGAGAGUUGUGGUCCAGGUAAAUCUAAGAGGCUGUGGGAACACAGAGAGGAGCCAGCCAUUAACUCAACUUCGUUGGGCUUCAUAGAGGUGUUAGAACAUGAACUGAAUCAUAAAGGAUAAAUAAUGAAAAAGCCCCUUUCCUGGAACCAGGAGGAUGAAUUUAAUGAUCUCCCAGGUGACCACUAAGUCUAAGACAAAGUUAUAGUGAUUGGUGGGGAGAAUGGGCAUGAACAUCUGGUCUACCCUAGGUUGCAUCAUUAUAAGGGUGUUUCAUAGGGUCACCCCUUUUGGAGAUCCUUAGAACAGUUCAGCUUAGAUGAACAGUGCCUCAUGCUACACAGACCAUUUGGAGUCUUGGGCUCUGCGGGGAGGCCCUCUCAAGUGCUUUGACUUUUAUUAAAAUUGUGACAAACGGGUUUCUCUGAGGAUUGAAGGUCUGGAGGCAUCUAGAGGAUGUCUCAAGAAUGAGAAUGUUGAUGGUAUAAAGCAAGAACAGCUUUCCCCGUGGGUGUGGAGAGAGAAAAUAAGGACUCGGAUCAGAGCAAGUUGGGUUUUUUCUUGUUUGUUUGAUUUUGUUAGGUUUUUUUUUUUUUAGUGUGCAAGGCUCUAGAGCAAGUUUUUUUUUUUUAAUGUCUGUUGAUAUCACAUAUUGAGAGAAUACUUUCUAGUGGGAAAAUGGUCUGGUAAAGGGUGGGUUCUUAUGUACAAAGCUUAGAUACAGUCUCAAACAUUCCUGGAACAGGAAGGUACUCUCUCAUUUCCAAUGAAAUAUACAUCCAGGAGUGGGAAAAGGGACCACAUGUUGUCAAAUUGAAGAGGAAAUGCAGUUACUUUGUUAGUCCCAGACUAACAAAGGAAUAAGGAAUAAGACCUCUGCCAAUUCAACUAUUAUGCACCAUUGAUUAUCAGAUACAUCCUGAUUUCGGAGAUAAAAAGAAGUGAAAAAUGUACACCUAUG